UGGAAUCAACCCGGGCGUUCAUGCGCAAGAAAGGGUGCAAUGUUUCCAGGUGGACUUGUGGCACUGUCCCCCAUCCCAGGCAACAAGAUUCAACCUCUUGUGGUGUAUUUGCUUUGAAAUUUGCAGAACAUCUUCUUUCAAAUGAAGAAAUAGAUUUCUCAGCAAAGGCACAUGAUGUAAAUAGGUACAGGCUGCAAAUUGCCACCACACUUCUAUUAGAGACUGAUGAUUUAUCUAACUUGUGCUUUGUUUGUGGGGAAGCUACACAUGACACAGACAACAGAUGGAUUCAGUGUGACGAGUGUUGCAGGUGGUUCCAUCUUGUAUGUGUCGGGGAGCCUCCAACCGAAGGCUCUUUUUUGUGUACAUGUACAGAAAUUAAAUGCUAAAUAUUUGAAGCUUG